rnacentral:rRNA from 1 species
CCUACGGGUGGCAGCAGUAGGGAAUUUUCGGCAAUGGGGGGAACCCUGACCGAGCAACGCCGCGUGAACGAAGACGUUAUUCGUAAUGUAAAGUUCUUUUAACAGGGAAGAAAGAGAAAUUUGACGGUACCUGAAGAAUAAGCUCCGGCAAACAACGUGCCAGCAGCCGCGGUAAUACGUAGGGAGAGAGCGUUAUCGGGAAUUAUUGGGCGUAAAGGGUGCGUAGAUGGCAUAGUAGGUAUUUUGGAAAAAUGCUGGGCUAAACCCAGUAGGGCAAAAGAUACUGCAAAGCUAGAGUAUGACAGAGGCAAGUGGAACUACGUGUGUAGCGGUGAAAUGCGUAGAUAUUUGUAAGAACACCAGUGGCGAAGGCGGCUUGCUGGGUCGAUACUGACGUUGAGGCACGAAAGCGUGGGGAGCAAACAGGAUUAGAUACCCGAGUAGUC